rnacentral:lncRNA from 1 species
AAAAAAAAAAGAAAAGCCUGAACCGAGAAUGGAAAGAGAGGUUCGUGGUCUCCUGGGUAGAUUGAACUACAUGUCAUGGUUCACAUCUCACCUAACAGCCACGUGGGAACCCAUUCAAGAAAAAAAAAAUCAAACGGUCAGGCGAAAUAAUGAUUGCCAAGGGGCAUUGAAAAAUAAAAGAAUAAGUUGCAGGAACCUCUGAUUCUGAUACCUCCUAUGGAAAGAGACUGUUAAUCUAUAC